AGAAACAUGCCAAAAGCCAUUUGAAGAGAAUGUUGUCUUUGAGACAACCCAAUCGGUUUUCUUGUUCAAGGAAACACUUCACUAUGAAUGUAAAGAAGGUUUUCAAACCAUGAAAGAGACCAUAGAUGACCGCAUCCAAUGCACAGAAAAUGGAUGGGAUCCAAAGCCUCUAUGUCUGUCUAUAGAAUGUGAUGUCCCCCUUCUGGAGCAUGGAAAUAUUCAUCCAAGGACAGAGAAAUAUGUGAACAGAGAUGUGGUGAAAUUUUCCUGUAACAAAGGAUACACAAGGGUUGGGCCUGAUGCUGCUCAGUGUUAUCACUUUGGAUGGUCUCCACAGCUUCCAGUUUGCAAAG